GCCAAGGUGGUGUAGUGGUUAGUACAUCUGCCGAGUGAGUAGAAGAUCUGGGUUCGAAUCCCAGCCUUGGUA